rnacentral:misc_RNA from 1 species
AGCAGCCGCGGUAAUUCCAGCUCCAAUAGCGUAUAUUAAAGUUGUUGCAGUUAAAAAGCUCGUAGUUGAAUUUCGGGGUUAGCAGGUCGGUCGUGCCAUCGGUAUGAACUGGUCUCGCUGAUCCCUCCCUCUUGACGAACUGUGAUGCCAUUAAUUUGGUGUCGCAGGGAAUCAGGACUGUUACUUUGAAAAAUUAGAGUGUUUAAAGCAGGCUCACGCUUGAAUACAUUAGCAUGGAAUAAUGAAAUAGGACGUUUGAUUCUAUUUUGUUGGUUUCUAGGAUCGACGUAAUGAUUAAUAGGGAUAGUUGGGGGCAUUAGUAUUCAAUUGUCAGAGGUGAAAUUCUUGGAUUUAUUGAAGACUAACUACUGCGAAAGCAUUUGCCAAGGAUGUUUUCAUUAAUCAAGAACGAAAGUUAGGGGAUCGAAGACGAUCAGAUACCGUCGUAGUCUUAACCAUAAACUAUGCCGACUAGGGAUCGGAUGAUGUUAAUUUUUAAUGACUCAUUC